rnacentral:misc_RNA from 1 species
AACGCACCUUGCGCUCCUUGGUAUUCCGAGGAGCAUGCCUGUUUGAGUGUCAUGGAAUCUUCAAUCCUCUCCUGACUUUGCUGCUUGCGGCGAGUCCGGGACGAGGCUUGGAAGUGGAGGACAAGUGCUGGCCCUGUCGGAAUGAAGGUCUGGCUCCUCUGAAAUGCAUUAGUGCAGACUGCAUGUUUGCCUGCCUUGGUGUGAUAAUAUAACCUCUUGUCUGCACUGCGGUAGGUGAACGAGAAGGCCCUUUGUUGCCAGUAGUGUGUGCUUUCAAACUGUCUGACUUGGCAGACAACGAAAACAUAUGUGCCUGCGUGCGUGUGUGUUUUCCUUGACACCUUUGACCUCAGAUCAGGUAGGACUACCCGCUGAACUUAA